UGGUGCAUGGUUGUCGUCAGCUCGUGUCGUGAGAUGUUGGUUAAGUCCGCAACGAGCGCAACCCCUAUUGUUAGUUGCCAUCAUUCAGUUGGGCACUCUAGCGAGACUGCCGGUAAUAAACCGGAGGAAGUGGGGAUGACGUCAAAUCAUCAUGCCCCUUAUGACCUGGGCUACACACGUGCUACAAUGGUUGGUACAACGAGUUGCGAGUCGGUGACGGCGAGCUAAUCUCUUAAAGCCAAUCUCAGUUCGGAUUGUAGGCUGCAACUCGCCUACAUGAAGUCGGAAUCGCUAGUAAUCGCGGAUCAGCACGCCGCGGUGAAUACGUUCCCGGGCCUU
rnacentral:rRNA from 1 species